rnacentral:rRNA from 1 species
UACGUAGGGGGCAAGCGUUGUCCGGAAUUACUGGGCGUAAAGCGCAUGUAGGCGGUAUAUUAAGUCAGGUGUGAAAUUUAACGGCUCAACCGGGAAAGUGCACUUGAAACUGGUAUACUUGAGGACUGGAGAGGUAAGCGGAAUUCCUAGUGUAGCGGUGAAAUGCGUAGAUAUUAGGAAGAACACCGGUGGCGAAGGCGGCUUACUGGACAGUAACUGACGCUAAGAUGCGAAAGCGUGGGGAGCGAACAGG